UACGGAGGGGGCUAGCGUUGUUCGGAAUUACUGGGCGUAAAGCGCACGUAGGCGGACUGGAAAGUCAGGGGUGAAAUCCCGGGGCUCAACCCCGGAACUGCCUUUGAAACUCCCGGUCUUGAGGUCGAGAGAGGUGAGUGGAAUUCCGAGUGUAGAGGUGAAAUUCGUAGAUAUUCGGAGGAACACCAGUGGCGAAGGCGGCUCACUGGCUCGAUACUGACGAUGAGGUGCGAAAGAGUGGGGAGCAAACAGG
rnacentral:rRNA from 1 species